rnacentral:rRNA from 1 species
UACGUAGGAGGCGAGCGUUGUCCGGAUUUACUGGGCGUAAAGCGCGCGCAGGCGGCACACUAAGUACGAUGUGAAAUCUCCCUGCUCAACGGGGAGGGUGCAUAGUAAACUGGUGAGCUAGAGGACGGUAGAGGGGGGUGGAAUUGCUGGUGUAGCGGUGAAAUGCGUAGAGAUCAGCAGGAACACCCGUGGCGAAGGCGGCCCCCUGGGCCGAACCUGACGCUGAGGCGCGAAGGCGUGGGGAUCAAACAGG